rnacentral:rRNA from 1 species
UACGAAGGGGACUAGCGUUGUUCGGAUUUACUGGGCGUAAAGCGCGCGUAGGCGGAUCGCUAAGUCAGGGGUGAAAUCCUGGAGCUCAACUCCAGAACUGCCUUUGAUACUGAAGAUCUUGAGUUCGGGAGAGGUGAGUGGAACUGCGAGUGUAGAGGUGAAAUUCGUAGAUAUUCGCAAGAACACCAGUGGCGAAGGCGGCUCACUGGCCCGAUACUGACGCUGAGGCACGAAAGCGUGGGGAGCAAACAGGG